rnacentral:rRNA from 1 species
AGUGAACGCUGGCGGUAUGCCUAACACAUGCAAGUCGAACGGGAGCACAGUAAGAGCUUGCUCUUACGGGUGUCGAGUGUCGGACGGGUGAGUUAUACAUCGGAAUCUACUUUUUCGUGGGGGAUAACGUAAGGAAACUUACGCUAAUACAGCAUUCGACCUAUUGGUGUAAGCAGGGGUUCUUUUGACUUUUCGCUAUUGUAUGAGCCGAUGUCGGAUUCGCUAGUUGGCUGGUUAAAGGCGCAACAGGGCCACGAUCCGUAGCGGGUAUGAGUGGAUGAUACGACACCUGGGCAGAGAGACAGGGUCGCCACUCCUACGGGAGGCAGCAGCGGGGACUCUUAGACAAUGGAGGAAAGGCUGAUACUGCAAUACCGCGUGAGUGAAGAAGGCCUUCGGGUUGUAAAGCGAUUAUGUUGGGAAAGAAAAGAAGCAGGUUAACCCCCCGCUGUACUGACGGUACCCAAAGAAUAAGCACCGGCUAACUUCGUG